rnacentral:rRNA from 1 species
GACGAACGCUGGCGGCGUGCUUAACACAUGCAAGUCGAACGGAGUGGCGAACGGGUGAGUAACACGUGGGUGACCUGCCCCGCACUUCGGGAUAAGCCUGGGAAAAUGGGUCUAAUACCGGAUAGUGUGGGAUGGGCCCGCGGCCUAUCGGCUGGUUGGUGGGGUAAUGGCCGACCAAGGCGGCGAUUGGUAGCCGGCCUGAGAGGGUGGACGGCCACAUUGGGCCUGGGACACGGACCAGACUCCGACGUGAGGCAGCAGUGAGGAAUAUUGCACAAUGGGCGGAAGCCUGAUGCAGCGACGCCGCGUGGGGGAUGACGGCCUUCGGGUUGUAAACUCCUUUCACCAUCGACGCGGUAGAUGGAGAAGAAGCACCGGCUAACUACGUGCCAGCCGCCGCGGUAAUUC